rnacentral:rRNA from 1 species
GACGAACGCUGGCGGCGUGCUUAACACAUGCCAGUCGAACGGAAAGGCCCUGCUUUUGUUGGGUGCUCGAGUGUCGAACGGGUGAGUAACACGUGAGUAACCUGCCCUUGACUUUGGGAUAACUUCAGGAAACUGGGUCUCAUACCGGAUAUGACCUCCUGCUGCAUGGUGGGUGUUGGAAAGUUUCGGCGUUUGGGGAUGGACUCGCGGCUUAUCAGCUUGUUGGUGGGGUAGUGGCUUACCAAGGCUUUGACGGGUAGCCGGCCUGAGAGGGUGACCGGCCACAUUGGGACUGAGAUACGGCCCAGACUCAUACGGGAGGAAGCAGGGGGGAAUAUUGCACAAUGGGCGGAAGCAGGAUGCAGCAACGCCGCGUGCGGGAUGACGGCCUUCGGGUUGUAAACCGCUUUCGCCUGUGACGAAGCGUGAGUGACGGUAAUGUGUAAAGAAGCACCGGCUAACUACGUG